UGAUUGUCCAAACGCAAUUCUUU
rnacentral:miRNA from 1 species